UUUGGUUAAGUUAGAAAGGGCGCACGGUGGAUGCCUUGACACUAGGAGUCGAUGAAGGACGGGACUAACGCCGAUAUGCUUCGGGGAGCUGUAAGUAAGCUUUGAUCCGAAGAUUUCCGAAUGGGGAAACCCACCAUACGUAAUGGUAUGGUAUCCUUAUCUGAAUACAUAGGGUAAGGAAGACAGACCCAGGGAACUGAAACAUCUAAGUACCUGGAGGAAGAGAAAGCAAAUGCGAUUUCCUGAGUAGCGGCGAGCGAAACGGAACAUAGCCCAAACCAAGAGGCUUGCCUCUUGGGGUUGUAGGACAUUCUAUACGGAGUUACAAAGGAACGAGGUAGACGAAGCGACCUGGAAAGGUCCGUCGUAGAGGGUAACAACCCCGUAGUCGAAACUUCGUUCUCUCUUGAAUGUAUCCUGAGUACGGCGGAACACGUGAAAUUCCGUCGGAAUCUGGGAGGACCAUCUCCCAAGGCUAAAUACUCCCUAGUGAUCGAUAGUGAACCAGUACCGUGAGGGAAAGGUGAAAAGCACCCCGGAAGGGGAGUGAAAGAGAUCCUGAAACCGUGUGCCUACAAAUAGUCAGAGCCCGUUAACGGGUGAUGGCGUGCCUUUUGUAGAAUGAACCGGCGAGUUACGAUCCCGUGCGAGGUUAAGCUGAAGAGGCGGAGCCGCAGCGAAAGCGAGUCUGAAUAGGGCGUUUAGUACGUGGUCGUAGACCCGAAACCAGGUGAUCUACCCAUGUCCAGGGUGAAGUUCAGGUAACACUGAAUGGAGGCCCGAACCCACGCACGUUGAAAAGUGCGGGGAUGAGGUGUGGGUAGCGGAGAAAUUCCAAUCGAACCUGGAGAUAGCUGGUUCUCCCCGAAAUAGCUUUAGGGCUAGCCUUAAGUGUAAGAGUCUUGGAGGUAGAGCACUGAUUGGACUAGGGGUCCUCAUCGGAUUACCGAAUUCAGUCAAACUCCGAAUGCCAAUGACUUAUCCUUAGGAGUCAGACUGCGAGUGAUAAGAUCCGUAGUCAAAAGGGAAACAGCCCAGACCGCCAGCUAAGGUCCCAAAGUGUGUAUUAAGUGGAAAAGGAUGUGGAGUUGCUUAGACAACUAGGAUGUUGGCUUAGAAGCAGCCACCAUUUAAAGAGUGCGUAAUAGCUCACUAGUCGAGUGACUCUGCGCCGAAAAUGUACCGGGGCUAAAUACACCACCGAAGCUGCGGAUUGAUACCAAUGGUAUCAGUGGUAGGGGAGCGUUCUAAGGACAGUGAAGUCAGACCGGAAGGACUGGUGGAGUGCUUAGAAGUGAGAAUGCCGGUAUGAGUAGCGAAAGACGGGUGAGAAUCCCGUCCACCGAAUGCCUAAGGUUUCCUGAGGAAGGCUCGUCCGCUCAGGGUUAGUCAGGACCUAAGCCGAGGCCGACAGGCGUAGGCGAUGGACAACAGGUUGAUAUUCCUGUACCACCUCUUUAUCGUUUGAGCAAUGGAGGGACGCAGAAGGAUAGAAGAAGCGUGCGAUUGGUUGUGCACGUCCAAGCAGUUAGGCUGAUAAGUAGGCAAAUCCGCUUAUCAUAAAGGCUGAGCUGUGAUGGGGAAGCUCCUUAUGGAGCGAAGUCUUUGAUUCCCCGCUGCCAAGAAAAGCUUCUAGCGAGAUAAAAGGUGCCUGUACCGCAAACCGACACAGGUAGGCGAGGAGAGAAUCCUAAGGUGUGCGAGAGAACUCUGGUUAAGGAACUCGGCAAAAUGACCCCGUAACUUCGGGAGAAGGGGUGCUUUCUUAACGGAAAGCCGCAGUGAAUAGGCCCAAGCGACUGUUUAGCAAAAACACAGCUCUCUGCGAAGCCGUAAGGCGAAGUAUAGGGGGUGACACCUGCCCGGUGCUGGAAGGUUAAGGAGAGGGGUUAGCGUAAGCGAAGCUCUGAACUGAAGCCCCAGUAAACGGCGGCCGUAACUAUAACGGUCCUAAGGUAGCGAAAUUCCUUGUCGGGUAAGUUCCGACCCGCACGAAAGGUGUAACGAUUUGGGCACUGUCUCAACCAGAGACUCGGUGAAAUUAUAGUACCUGUGAAGAUGCAGGUUACCCGCGACAGGACGGAAAGACCCCGUGGAGCUUUACUGUAGCCUGAUAUUGAAUUUUGGUACAGUUUGUACAGGAUAGGCGGGAGCCUUUGAAACCGGAGCGCUAGCUUCGGUGGAGGCGCUGGUGGGAUACCGCCCUGACUGUAUUGAAAUUCUAACCUACGGGUCUUAUCGACCCGGGAGACAGUGUCAGGUGGGCAGUUUGACUGGGGCGGUCGCCUCCUAAAGUGUAACGGAGGCGCCCAAAGGUUCCCUCAGAAUGGUUGGAAAUCAUUCGUAGAGUGCAAAGGCAUAAGGGAGCUUGACUGCGAGACCUACAAGUCGAGCAGGGACGAAAGUCGGGCUUAGUGAUCCGGUGGUUCCGCAUGGAAGGGCCAUCGCUCAACGGAUAAAAGCUACCCCGGGGAUAACAGGCUUAUCUCCCCCAAGAGUCCACAUCGACGGGGAGGUUUGGCACCUCGAUGUCGGCUCAUCGCAUCCUGGGGCUGUAGUCGGUCCCAAGGGUUGGGCUGUUCGCCCAUUAAAGCGGUACGCGAGCUGGGUUCAGAACGUCGUGAGACAGUUCGGUCCCUAUCCGUCGUGGGCGUAGGAAAUUUGAGAGGAGCUGUCCUUAGUACGAGAGGACCGGGAUGGACGCACCGCUGGUGUACCAGUUGUUCUGCCAAGGGCAUAGCUGGGUAGCUAUGUGCGGAAGGGAUAAGUGCUGAAAGCAUCUAAGCAUGAAGCCCCCCUCAAGAUGAGAUUUCCCAUAGCGUAAGCUAGUAAGAUCCCUGAAAGAUGAUCAGGUUGAUAGGUUCGAGGUGGAAGCAUGGUGACAUGUGGAGCUGACGAAUACUAAUAGAUCGAGGACUUAACCAUAUAA
rnacentral:rRNA from 1 species